rnacentral:rRNA from 1 species
GACGAACGCUGGCGGCGUGCCUAAUACAUGCAAGUAGAACGCACAGUUUAUACCGUAGCUUGCUACACCAUAGACUGUGAGUUGCGAACGGGUGAGUAACGCGUAGGUAACCUGCCUGGUAGCGGGGGAUAACUAUUGGAAACGAUAGCUAAUACCGCAUAAUAUUAAUUAUUGCAUGAUAAUUAAUUGAAAGGUGCAAUUGCACCACUACCAGAUGGACCUGCGUUGUAUUAGCUAGUAGGUGAGGUAACGGCUCACCUAGGCGACGAUACAUAGCCGACCUGGGAGGGUGAGCGGCCACACUGGGACUGGGACACGGCCCAGACUCCUACGGGAGGCAGCAGUAGGGAAUCUUCGGCAAUGGACGAAAGUCUGACCGAGCAACGCCGCGUGAGUGAAGAAGGUUUUCGGAUCGUAAAGCUCUGUUGUAAGAGAAGAACGGGUGUGAGAGUGGAAAGUUCACACUGUGACGGUAUCUUACCAGAAAGGGACGGCUAACUACGUG